rnacentral:rRNA from 1 species
GACAUAGGUGACGAACGUUAUCCGGAAUUAUUGGGCGUAAAGGAUGCGUAGAUGGUUCAAUAAGUUACUAGUGGGAAAUCGGGGCCCAACCUCGUGGAAGUUAGUAAUACUGUUGAGCUCGAGUGCAGGAGAGGUUAACGGAACUUUAUGUGGAGCGGUAAAAUGCGUAGAUAUAUGAAAGAACACCAAUAUAGCGAAGGCAGUUAAACUAUUCUGCUACUGACAUUGAGGCAUGAAAGCGUGGGGAGCAAAACGG